ACUGGCGCACGGGUGAGUAACGCGUGGGGAUCAACCCCGGGGUGGGGGACAACCGCUGGAAACGGCGGCUAAUACCGCAUACGCCUUAAGAGGGAAAGCUUUAGCGCCCUGGGAUGAACCCGCGUUAGAUUAGGUAGUUGGUGGGGUAACGGCCUACCAAGCCGACGAUCUAUAGCUGGUCUGAGAGGAUGAUCAGCCACACUGGGACUGAGACACGGCCCAGACUCCUACGGGAGGCAGCAGUGGGGAAUAUUGGACAAUGGGGGCAACCCUGAUCCAGCCAUGCCGCGUGCGUGAAGAAGGCCUUAGGGUUGUAAAGCGCUUUCACUGGUGAAGAUGAUGACGGUAGCCAGAGAAGAAGCCCCGGCUAACUCCGUGCCAGCAGCCGCGGUAAUACGGAGGGGGCAAGCGU
rnacentral:rRNA from 1 species